rnacentral:tRNA from 1 species
GGGCGGUUAGCUCAGCUGGUAGAGCAUUCGGUUUACAUCCGAACGGUCGGCGGUUCGACCCCGUCACCGCCCACCA